rnacentral:rRNA from 1 species
UACGUAGGGUGCGAGCGUUAAUCGGAAUUACUGGGCGUAAAGGGUGAGUAGGCGGAACUAUAAGUUAGUAGUGAAAUACCCGGGCUUAACCUGGGAGGUGCUAUUAAGACUGUAGAUCUAGAGUAUGUGAGAGGGGGGAGGAAUUCCAGGUGUAGCAGUGAAAUGCGUAGAUAUCUGGAGGAACACCAAUGGCGAAGGCAACCCCCUGGGAUAAUACUGACGCUGAGUCACGAAAGCGUGGGUAGCAAACAGG